rnacentral:rRNA from 1 species
UCUAUCUUUAAAAUUUUAAAUAUUUUAGUACGAAAGGAUCAAAUAUUUUAAUUAAAUUAUUAAAAAUUUAUUUGAAUUUUAUUAAAAUAGCUAAAAAAUUUUUAUUUAUUUAAUUUAAUUUUAUUUAAAUAUUUAUUUUAUUAAAAGUUAAGAUUAUAUUUAAAUUUAAAAUAAAA